rnacentral:rRNA from 1 species
UACGUAGGGUGCGAGCGUUGUCCGGAAUUACUGGGCGUAAAGAGCUGCGGUGGUCGUCUGUCGCGUCUGCUGUGAAAAUCCGGGGCUCAACCCCGGACUUGCAGUGGGUACGGGCAGACUAGAGUGUGGUAGGGGAGACUGGAAUUCCUGGUGUAGCGGUGAAAUGCGGCAGAUAUCAGGAGGAACACCGAGUGGCGAAGGCAGGUCUCUGGGCCACUACUGACGC